rnacentral:rRNA from 1 species
CACGUAGUUAGCCGGUGCUUUUUCUGCAGGUACCGUCACUUUCGCUUCUUCCCUACUAAAAGAGGUUUACAACCCGAAGGCCGUCGUCCCUCACGCGGUGUUGCUGCAUCAGGCUUGCGCCCAUUGUGCAAUAUUCCCCACUGUUGCCUCCCGUAGGAGUCUGGGCCGUGUCUCAGUCCCAGUGUGGCCGGUCACCCUCUCAGGCCGGCUACCCGUCGUCGCCUUGGUGAGCCAUUACCUCACCAACAAGCUGAUAGGCCGCGAGUCCAUCCUUGACCGAAAUUCUUUCCACCCCCAGGAGAUGCCUCCGAAGGUCGUAUCCGGUAUUAGACGUCGUUUCCAACGCUUAUCCCAGAGUCAAGGGCAGGUUACUCACGUGUUACUCACCCGUUCGCCACUGAUCCACAGAGCAAGCUCUGCUUCACCGUUCGACUUGCAUGUGUUAAGCACGCCGCCAGCGUUGUCCUGAGCCAGGAUCAAACUCU